rnacentral:lncRNA from 10 species
GGCCAGUCAGAGGUUCUCUGGGGACCCCUUUAUACUAGGCUGUCUCACUGAGACAUUCUUAUAAUUUCAGACAAGACUUAAAAGAAAUACUAAAGAAAGUUCUUUGGUUUGUAAAGUAACCACAAAAAAACAUGGAGCAUAAAGGUCAGUGGGAACAGGAACCAGGAAUGAAAUAAAGAGAACCAGAAAUGAUCAGAGCCGCAAACCAGCCAGAAAUAUAAUUUUGGGAUUUAAUGAUAUACCAAAACAAUGUGAGAGGCAAUCGUCUCUUUGGCAGAAGUUUCAUAACCCAGUACAGGAUUGCUCUACUUGCAAGAAGAAAUAUACUUUCUCCAUUUACCACUGAAGAUUUAUGGCCAAUGUGAUGUAUUUAGGUUGGUUUAAUUAUAACUAUUAUUCACUAUUCCAUAGGGGAUUUUACAAGUCUAGGCAUUUAGUGAUAGUACAUAUUUGUAUUAGUGAUGGCAGUCUUUUAAUUAACUCCUUAUUUUGAAUUCUAAUACAAAGAGUAGUCUUUUUUCUAAAGUCAUAGGAACACAAUUAGCAUAUUUAUUAACACUGAUCCCCUCUUAGCUUCUCUAAUAAUAUUUUGUACUAAUAGUUCUUGUAUUUCUAAUACAAAUCUGAAGCUUUUCAAAAUGAUAAUUUUAAUUGUAUUAAAAAGACUAAUAUCUCCCAG